AGAAGCUCCCUCGGAUCGGACCUCGUUCGAAAUGUUUGCAACAAGUGUCAGACAAGCGCAAAGUUGAUCAUUUAAUAGUUAGGAUUGCAUCUGGCAAACAUUCUUUGCCAAACAAGCAAAGAAGUGGAACAGAAGACAAACAGGAUGGAUGACACAUCUUCACAGGCACUUUGACUAAUGGAGCUUCGGAGAAAAAUUCCGUGUCAGACGUAAGAUGUGACUCAUGGUUUAGACCUAUUAUCUUUAUUUCAGAGAUCAGUUGACUCCUCGGCGUAAAGUGUCAAGCCAGAACGUUUGCAUUGACCGCCAUAAUGCGCGAUUGAGCUGGCCAUCACCUGCUGUCAGCAAGCAAGUGGAUGCACGGCCUCCGCCUGCUUAGGACACUUGGAUUAUUUCAGUGGAUGCCUGUCGAUAAAUCACUCAAGUUAAGUUGGCCUCCUAGUGUGCGGGGAUGACCCUCAGAUGAUCAGGUUGUUCACGGGUGAUCUCGAGGAAGGCGAUGAAGACAUCUGCAGCCGACGAUGCGAGAAAACAAGAGUCGGAGACGUCAUCAACAGUGCAUACCAAAGCAACAGGGGAGCGCUGUGACCCCUGACCUUGAGGCCAUCUUAGCCAAUCAGAAGCAUAUGUCCUAAAGAGCCGUUCAGUUCCCCAGCAACCUUUUCGGCUUUGGAUCUCCAGAACAUUGCUCAUCCAUGACUGCGUACAUGUGUGAAGGGAGAUCCCCGCCGUCUCAGCAGAGGCGAGGUGUAUUUGUGGGUGGUAAAUGUCGAAACGAUCCGGGCGGUGUGGUGUUCCAUUCCGACCCUGCCGUGUGUCCAUGUGUGUGAGAACCGGGCGAUCCAAUUGCCGGUCGUCUGAACCCUGUGAGUCACUGGCUGGUUCUGGAGCUGCUGGAACUGUAUUUGCAUUUCACGCAUGCCUCAGGUAAUCGAUAUGCCAGUUUGGUGUUGAGAUGGAUUGGUUGGCUUUUAUUCUAUUAUGGGAUCUCACUCAAUGGAUAAAAAAAAAAAAAUUCAACCUUCUUUUUUUAUUGGACCAGAAAAUUGUGUCCCAGCUGCUCAGCGCUGUCACGAAAAGAAGCGCAGAAUUUAUACAGUAAAGACGUCCUCCGAGGUAUUUUACGACUUUUUAAGUUUUAGUCUCCUGUAUUUCAUACUUAUGUGACACUUAAGAAUGUUACCUAGAACAUUGCCUGUCCACUUAAUUAAGGUUUUACGGUGAUGUGCAGAAGAACUGGAACUCAACUCUGGAACAGAUGAUUUCAAUUGUUUCUUAUUGCAAAAAAAGUUUUUUCUAAAUAUCAACAAAUGGGAAAACGGAAGGUCUUCUGGGAGCGAUUUUCACAUUUCGGUUUAUUAUUGUGGCUGGAGUUUGCUCUACAUCAUCCUCGAAGCUCUUUUUUUUUCAUAUUUUGCUCCCGUAAUUGGAUAAGAUUAGCAAAAAUGCCUUUGCGUGCUAAGCUACACGUAGCGCUCAGUAUGAUACAGUGCAGUUCACCACUGUAAUCUACUAGCAUAAUAAAAAACAUUGUUAUGUAAAUACUUCCCAGACUGUGUCAAACAAAUGAGCUAGCAG